AUUUCUCAUUUGGAUCCGGUUCGGGUUCGGAUAGUUCGGGUAGUUCGGAUAGUUUUGAUAAAAUAUCGGUUAUUUAGGGUAAAUAUCAAAUAAUUAGGAUGAUUUAGAUAACAAUUUUGGAUAUUUCGGAUUACUUUGGAUAUUUUGGAUAAAACUAUCCGGAUAAUUUCAGAUACUUUCAGAUAGUUCAAUACUUUAUAAUUAUUUAGUUAUCCUCAACUAUUGUCAGAUAUUUUUAAUAGAAUUUUAAAUUAAAAAUAUAUAUUUAGUUAUGUUAUCUAUAUUAAUAAAGUUGGGUUUAGUUUCUCCUUAUGCUGCCACCACAUCAUCAAUAUGCAUAGGACAUUUUUCGCCACGUGUCACUUCAUUAAAUCUUCAAAGAAAUCGAUUUUUUCCAUUCUGAAAAACAUCUCGAAACCCAUUAUGGGCUCUACAACACAAAGACUUCUGUUCAGGCCUAUAUCAUGUUGUUUUCCCAAGCCCAGGUUUUUGUGUGUGAGCUUACGAUCCCUCUUCCGCUUCAUGUAAUCCAAAAUUAGGGUUUCUGUAAUCGAAGAGCUUACCAUCCAGUUCCUCGGCUUAGUAACGCUCGGGAGUUAUGUCAUUCAAUGAGGAAAACCUAAAAAUCUCAUGAACUCGUCUUCAUUGCUGCCUUUAUUUGUUGUUCAGUAGAUCUCUUCACCAUCAAUAUAUACUUUCGACGUGGCCUCCCCGUUUCCGAUAGUUUCCGCCAAUUACUUCUGGACUGAAUCUCUCAGACAACAUCUUCAAAAAUGGCAACUUCCAGCUACAACUUCUUGAGUUGAAGACAUGCCAGUGAAAAGAUAUUGUUCAGACGAGACUUCUCCGUUUUUGGGCGUCUCAGAAUGUGAAAAGAGGUUAAUUGAUGAGCGUGGAUAUGCUACUGCUUGAUGCCAAGUGGUUCAGGGCUUCAGGCAUCGAUAAAUGUAUACCGGUUGAACAUCUUCUAACACUUAUUGACUGAAGGAUCUGUUUAUGAGCUGGGUUCUUUUGAUGUAACAAGAAGCAACCGAGACGUCUUUAUGGAGAUAUCUGAAACAGUUCAAACCAAUCCCGAUGGAGCACUUCAGAUUUAUCAGGUUAAAUUUAAAUUCACACUUUUAAUACUUCUCAAUAUAUUAUUUUGAUAUAAGACUUACUAGCUUUGCGUAUGUUUCUACCACAAAUAUUGUUGGGCAAGUAAAGGGGACUAGAACUUCAUACAAUAAAAGAGACUCAGAGUACAACGCAUCAUUAUUACCAUAAGCAUCAAAAGGAACUCAAAUGUAUGCGUAAGUGUGUUUGAAGAAUUGGCAAAAGCCCUUGAUGAAAUGAGAAUUUCUGAGUAGGAGUAUUAAACCGAAAGUGGUGGUUGCCACAAACUUCAACCCUAAAUUGGGAGUCGGUUCUUCCUGAAUGCAACCUCUGCAAUCCAUUUCUAUUUUAAUAAUGAGAGUGGUGCAGGUAAAAGUUAUCUUGAGAGGACAUGUGGCAUUGGCAAAGGCUCGACCUCCGGCCCUACAAAAUAUGGGGGUGUUAAGAAGAUUGAGUGAAUGACGGUAGCAAAGCUUAAUGACCGUCAUGAAAUCUCCACUGCAGUCAGAAGAAUUCAUUUGCAUUGGCAUUGUAAGUUGAAUCAACACAUCAAAUGGAUGGUGCUACAUUUCUUGCUCCAAGUGCUACCGAAAAUUGCAGCGUGAGUUUACAUCAGUCACAUGGGCUUCCUGUAAUGAGGUGAAUGCUGUUGGAGUCAUAAGGUACCAUAUGCAAAUGACUGUUUGGUGCAACCGACACUAACACAUUUGUAGCUUUUAACACUGAAAUAACUAAACUGACCAAUAUCCGGCCUGCAGACGUCUCCCACCAGCAGCCACAGGUCCACAAGACCCACAGGAUUGGGACCUUCCAAAAUGCUUAAAGGAGAUUGUUGGGUGAACUUUAACCUUCUAUUUAAACAUAUCUCACUUCAACUUCACUACAAAAUAACAGAAUUUCACUCUUGCAUUCUUAACAACAAGUCAACAACCAAUGUCCUCCCUAGCAUAUUUUUGAGGUCCAGUUGGUCAAUAUAACCAGCACCAAAUUAUUAACAAUUUAAAAUAAUUGGUUUAAUUUUCUUAGUCA